UGAGGUAACCCUCGUUAAGGAACUCGGCAAGUUGACCCCGUAACUUCGGGAGAAGGGGUACCCCAGUAGCGUGAAGCUCCUCGCGAGUGGAGCGUGAAGGGGUGGCACAGACCAGGGCCUGGCGACUGUUUACUAAAAACACAGGUCUCUGCAAAGUCGUAAGACGAUGUAUAGGGACUGACGCCUGCCCGGUGCCGGAAGGUUAAGAGGAGGGGUCAUUCCCUUCGGGGGAGAAGCUUCGAAUCGAAGCCCCGGUAAACGGCGGCCGUAACUAUAGCGGUCCUAAGGUAGCGAAAUUCCUUGUCGGGUAAGUUCCGACCUGCAUGAAUGGCGUAACGAUUGGGCUCCUGUCUCAACGAGGGUCUCAGUGAAAUUGUAGUCACAGUGAAGAUGCUGUGUUCCCGCGGAAAGACGGAAAGACCCCGUGCACCUUUACUAUACCCUGAUAGUGGCCGUCGGACAGUUAUGUGUAGGAUAGGUGGGAGGCGUAGAAGCAGGGGCGCUAGCUCUUGUGGAGCCAUCCUUGAAAUACCACCCUUGAGUGUUUGACGUCCUAACCGUGGCCCGUUACCCGGGUCCGGGACCCUGUCAGGCGGGUAGUUUGACUGGGGCGGUCGCCUCCUAAAAUGUAACGGAGGCGCCCAAUGGUGCCCUCAGGCGGUAUGGAAAUCCGCUGACGAGUGUAAAGGCAGAAGGGCGCCUGACUGCGAGAGAGACAUCUCGAGCAGGGACGAAAGUCGGGCUUAGUGAUCCGGUGGUCCUUUGUGGUAGGGCCAUCGCUCAACGGAUAAAAGGUACGCCGGGGAUAACAGGCUGAUCCCGCCCAAGAGUCCAUAUCGACGGCGGGGUUUGGCACCUCGGUGUCGGCUCAUCGCAUCCUGGGGCUGAAGCUGGUCCCAAGGGUUGGGCUGUUCGCCCAUUAAAGCGGUACGCGAGCUGGGUUUAGAACGUCGUGAGACAGUUCGGUCCUUAUCUUCCGUGGGCGUUGGAGUGUUGCGAGGAGCUGUCCUUAGUACGAGAGGACCGGGAUGGACGCACCUCUAGUGCACCAGUUGUCGCGCCAGCGGCACAGCUGGGUAGCUACGUGCGGAAUGGAUAACCGCUGAAUGCAUCUAAGCGGGAAGCCAACCUCAAGAUGAGCACUCCCGGGAGCAAUCCCCACAGACCCGUCGAAGACUACGACGUUGAUAGGCUGCAAGUGGAAGCGCGGUAACGUGUGAAGCUGAGCAGUACUAAUUGGUCGUGUGGCUUGACCCC
rnacentral:rRNA from 1 species